rnacentral:rRNA from 1 species
AUGCCGCGUGAGUGAAGAAGGCCUUCGGGUUGUAAAGCUCUUUUGUCAGGGAAGAAACGGCCUCGGCUAAUAUCCGGGGCUAAUGACCGUACCUGAAGAAUAAGCACCGGCUAACUACGUGCCAGCAGCCGCGGUAAUACGUAGGGUGCAAGCGUUAAUCGGAAUUACUGGGCGUAAAGCGUGCGCAGGCGGUUUUGUAAGUCUGACGUGAAAUCCCCGGGCUCAACCUGGGAAUUGCGUUGGAGACUGCAAGGCUUGAGUCUGGCAGAGGGGGGUAGAAUUCCACGUGUAGCAGUGAAAUGCGUAAAGAUGUGGAGGAACACCGAUGGCGAAGGCAACCCCCUGGGUCAAGACUGACGCUCAUGCACGAAAGCGUGGGGAGCAAACAGGAUUAGAUACCCUGGUAGUCCACGCCCUAAACGAUGUCUACUAGUUGUCGGGUUUUAAUUAACUUGGUAACGCAGCUAACGCGUGAAGUAGACCGCCUGGGGAGUACGGUCGCAAGAUUAAAACUCAAAGGAAUUGACGGGG